AGACUGGAGGAAAUCUACACUGCCUCAUGGCAUUUCAGAAACGCAGUUGGCAGAGAUUUGGGCCAUGGAAUUUGCAACUUGGCAACCUGAGGCCAGAACCCCAGCCACCACCCAUGCAUUCCAGGAGAAUCCCUAAAUCUGAAAGUGAAGACAAUGUACCCAAGAAAGCGCAUGGGCACAUGGGAAGAUCAUUUAGCACGGGCUUUCACCAAGAUCUUGUAUGGAAGAGGAUGUGUCAUAUUAAUGAGAGAGGGAGCAGUGGUUCACCAGAUAGUGACUCGGAUUGAGAAGGGAAUUAUUAAAUAGUCUCAAGCAGUAUUAUUGUUAAUAGUUUGGUUUUCAAGGGUAUGGCAUUUUGUUUGAAAUUUAAUUUAUCGGUUUCAUAAGGUGUGUAACACAGACAAUAUUUACUAGGCACUCAUUUCCAGUUCACGACCAAGGCCAUCUCUAGACACUGUUGACAUAAAAGGCGUUAAUAUAUUGGAUUGUGUAUAUUUGACAUAUAUUUUUAUGAAAUGUUAGAAUAGUCGUGAUAUGAUUUGUGAUAGUUUCAGUUCCCAUUCAUUUUGAUAAUUGGGGAAAAAAAACUUUUUUUGAAAUAAAAAAAGUAAUACAUUUUGUAAUAUUAAACAUGAGAAAGCAAAUCAAGUUAUGGGCAGUUAGGAUAGUAAAUUGUGAAGACCAAGUAAGUCUCAUUGUGUUCACGAGUGUGUCUUAGCCACUUGUAGAAAUAGCCAUGGUGAAUUAAAGGACCACUAUAGUGCCCUGAGGGUGCCCCCACCCUCAGGGUCCCCCUCCCGCUAGGCUGGAUGGCGAGGAAAGGGGUUAAACUCACCUUUAUUCCAGCGCCGGGCGGGGAGCUCUCCUCCUCUUCGGCUGAAUGCGAAUGCGCGGCAAGAGCUGCGCGCGCAUUCAGCCGGUCUCAUAGGAAAGCAUUUAUAAUGCUUUCCUAUGGACGCUGGCGUGUUCUCACUGUGAUUUUCACAGUGAGAAGCACGCAAGCGCCUCUAGCGGCGGUCAAUGAGACAGCCACUAGAGGAUUUGGAGGCUGGAUUAACCCAUUUAUAAACAUAGCAGUUUCUCUGAAACUAUGUUUAUAAAAAAAAAAAAAGGGGGUUAAUCCUAGAGGGACCUGGCACCCAGACCACUUCAUUAAGCUGAAGUGGUCUGGGUGCCUAGAGUGGUCCUUUAAACUUGCAGAUGCAUACACUUAAUAUGAAAUUUGUAAUCUGGUUCUAAAGUCAUUGCAUUUAAGAUUUAAAGAAGCACCAUAGCCAUUGUAUCUCAUAGUAGUGUUAACAAUUGGCUCAAAUCAAUGGGCGUCUUACACCAGUUUUUAGUGAACACAUUUUAAAAUGGCUUGACAAGGCCCAAGGCUUUCCUUGGCCACAAUAAUCCAGCCCCUCUGCAGCACAAUGGAUAUUACAGAAAUGACACUUCCACAUUAUCCUUUGAAAUCUAUCCAACACUGGAAAGCAAUGGAAGGGCUAACCUUAUUCCUAAACCUUACAUCAUUUCUGUCUAAAGUUUGAUAGAUUCAUAUAGAUAAAAAAAAGAAGUGUAAUUGCCACAGCCAUGCAUAAUCUCACUUGGCAUGAGAAGAGGCUUUAAAUGCCUGUUUCUUUCAGUAAUUUCAGUACUUGCAACUUCAGUAGAACUGAAUCAUUAUUAGGGAAUACUAUUCAGUAGGUUGCUAGUAGGAUUAGCUAAUUUACACAAAUAAGUACAUAUUAAGGAUAAACUCACUUUCAAUAACGCAUAUAUUGAAUAUAAUGGCUGUGAUAUAUAAAGGUUAUAACUGGAUGUGUACGACAUAUCCUGAGAAAGCAUGUCAUUCUAUAAAGCACAUUUUGAAGACAUCCAUUUUGCAUGUGGCCCUAGAUGAAAUCAGCAGGAAAGAUAAAGGACCCAUAUAUUUAUCCCUAGAAAAGUAAAACUUAAAUAUAACUUUUUUUUUCAGAUUGUCGUGAGGUUGUUCUUAUACACACUUCCCCAAGAUAAUGGAUGUAUCUUUAUUAUUCUGUGACAUCUGCCAACUAAAUACAAUAGUAUAAAUUAUUCUGGAAAUUUGGCAGUGAACGCAUUUCUUGGUUCCAUAUUUGGUCCCAACUAAAGACUUUUAGGUGGUUUUGUUUAACUAGUACAAUAUAUUUUCUACUUUUAUAGAUCUUCAUUGAUGUACCUGCUUCCAUGUUAUUAAACUAGUCUGUAAAAUAUUAAAUCCGCAAGUCUGCCUAUGUUUG
rnacentral:lncRNA from 1 species